rnacentral:lncRNA from 1 species
CACAGCCUUUAGAAACUCCCCUUGAACGUGCUGGGCUGACCUUCCUCUGAUCACAGGCAAGGCAAAGGAAAAUGACAGGCCCUUGCCUUCCCGGUCCUCAAGGGUCAGCUGUAAGAUGAUGUCAUAAAGCCGGAUCAGGUCCUGGGGCCGGGGGAAGCACUUGCUGUCAUCCUCUGGCUGCUGCUGCAGCAGAGCCCUCUGC